GUGGGGAAUUGUUCGCAAUGGGCGCAAGCCUGACGACGCAACGCCGCGUGGAGGAUGAAGAUUUUCGGAUCGUAAACUCCUGUCGAAUGGGACGAAAAGGUCGUGGGUUAACAACCUGCGAUCCUGACGGUACCGUUAAAGGAAACCCCGGCUAACUCCGUGCCAGCAGCCGCGGUAAUACGGGGGGGGUAAGCGUUGUUCGGAAUUACUGGGCGUAAAGGGCUCGUAGGCGGCCAACUAAGUCAGACGUGAAAUCCCUCAGCUUAACUGGGGAACUGCGUCUGAUACUGGAUGGCUUGGAUUCGGGAGAGGAAUGCGGAAUUCCAGGUGUAGCGGUGAAAUGCGUAGAUAUCUGGAGGAACACCGGUGGCGAAGGCGGCAUUCUGGACCGAUAUUGACGCUGAGGAGCGAAAGCCAGGGGAGCAAACGGGAUUAGAUACCCCAGUAGUCC
rnacentral:rRNA from 1 species